rnacentral:lncRNA from 1 species
UAUUAUUGCAAUCACAUGCCAUCUAUUUCUUUUCAGCCUCGGGAAGGAGGGCCAUAUUACCAGCUGAGGUGCGCAAUGCAUUGUGGGGCAGAAGCAGUACGUGAAGCAAGCUCCGUUGCACACUCAGAAAUCGAAGCUGAUUGAGUAUACAUCCGGGCAUUUCUCGCAUACACAAAAUUCACAUACUGUACAGUGUGAACGCACUGCCUACUCAAUUCAGAGGCGGGGUUAGUAGGAGUAGUAGGAGUAGUAGGCCAUUUCGGACACAGCCCAACUCUCU